rnacentral:rRNA from 1 species
UACGUAGGUGGCAAGCGUUGUCCGGAUUUACUGGGCGUAAAGAGCGCGCAGGCGGUCGAAUAAGUCGAAUGUGAAAGCCCCCGGCUUAACCGGGGAGAGUCGUUGGGGACGGCGGAGCUUGAGGGCGGGAGAGGUCGGUGGAAUUCCCGGUGUAGUGGUGAAAUGCGUAGAUAUCGGGAGGAACACCAGUGGCGAAGGCGGUUGCCUGGAGCUUUGCUGACGCUGAGGCGCGAAGCGUGGGGAGCGAUCCGG